AUAUCAAUAAGCGGAGGAAAAGAAACCAACAGGGAUUGCCCUAGUAACGGCGAGUGAAGCGGCAAAAGCUCAAAUUUGAAAUCUGACCUUUUGGUCCGAGUUGUAAUUUGGAGAAGGUGCUUCGGGUGCGAUAGCAUUCCAAGUCCCUUGGAAUUGGGCAUUUGAGAGGGUGAGAAUCCCGUAUAUGAUUGCGCGUCAAACCCGUGUGAAGCCCUUUCGACGAGUCGAGUUGUUUGGGAAUGCAGCUCUAAGCGGGUGGUAAAUUCCAUCUAAGGCUAAAUAUCUGCCAGAGACCGAUAGUGCACAAGUAGAGUGAUCGAAAGAUGAAAAGCACUUUGAAAAGAGAGUGAAAUAGUACGUGAAAUUGUUGAAAGGGAAGCGCUUGCAACCAGAUUCGACCGUGGAUGUUCAGCUACCCUCUGGGGUGGUGUAUUCACCUGCGGGACGGGCCAGCAUCGGUUUCGGCGGUUGAAUAAAAGCUUGGGGAAUGUAGCUGUCUUCGGGCAGUGUUAUAGCCUCUUGAGUGAUUCGUCCCGCCGGGACCGAGGAUAGCGCCUUGUGCUAGGAUGCUGGCGUAAUGGUUGUCAGCGACCCGUCUUGAAACACGGACCAAGGAGUGGACCAACUGCGCGAGUGUUUGGGCAGAAAACCCAUGCGCGAAAUGAAAGUGAACGGAGGUGGGAGCUCUCGAGCGCACCAUCGACCGAUCUUGAUGUCUUCGGAUGGAUUUGAGUACGAGCGUAGUUGUUCCGACCCGAAAGAUGGUGAACUAUGCGUGAAUAGGGUGAAGCCAAAGGAAACUCUGGUGGAGGCUCGCAGCGGUUCUGACGUGCAAAUCGAUCGUCAAAUUUGCGUAUAGGGGCGAAAGACUAAUCGAACCAUCUAGUAGCUGGUUCCUGCCGAAGUUUCCCU
rnacentral:rRNA from 1 species